AACGAACGCUGGCGGCAGGCUUAACACAUGCAAGUCGAGCGAGACCUUCGGGUCUAGCGGCGGACGGGUGAGUAACGCGUGGGAACGUGCCCUUCUCUACGGAAUAGCCCCGGGAAACUGGGAGUAAUACCGUUUACGCCCUUUGGGGGAAAGAUUUAUCGGAGAAGGAUCGGCCCGCGUUGGAUUAGGUAGUUGGUGGGGUAAUGGCCCACCAAGCCGACGAUCCAUAGCUGGUUUGAGAGGAUGAUCAGCCACACUGGGACUGAGACACGGCCCAGACUCCUACGGGAGGCAGCAGUGGGGAAUCUUAGACAAUGGGGGCAACCCUGAUCUAGCCAUGCCGCGUGAGUGAUGAAGGCCUUAGGGUUGUAAAGCUCUUUCAGCUGGGAAGAUAAUGACGGUACCAGCAGAAGAAGCCCCGGCUAACUCCGUG
rnacentral:rRNA from 1 species